AGCAAGGGACGUCUCUUAUGGACAGCUGUCGAAACAUGUGUGGCUCGGCUUCUCUCUCUCAAAUCCUCUCCUCGACGGCAACGACGGUGACCAAGUCGGUCUCCCUUGGUGGCUCUGAGAAUCGCAUCAAAAUCGCCAAGGCCGGAGCCGUUAAUGAUCUCCUCUUCGGAUCCGCUGUGCUCUGCUAAAGAGAACAAACUUAGAGCCGUGCAGUCGGGUUAUUAAGGAAGGAGAAGCUGAGAUUCUUAUGCAUAAGAAGAACCAAGUCUUCUUCAACAAAGCUCAGGGGAUGUGACGCAAGAUGCAAUGUUUUGGGAAGCCCCAACAGCAAGCGGCUUCCUUGGUUUGGCCAUCAGCUUCACUUCGAUGUGGUUCUUGCAUCAAACCGGACCCACAACAUACAUUCUAGUGGUUUCAUUCAUCAAGGUUCCGAUAUCAUUAUCUGGUCUUGUACUCUUUGAUGUCCCUCUCAGUCUCCCAAAUUUGUUCAGCAUACAUUUUGAUUUAUUUGCUGGUGUUGUCUUUGCCAGAGCCAAAAUGUCAUAAUCGUGUUUCCAAGCCAAAGUACAACUCGUUGCAAAAUCUCAGGACCGAUGGUGUCCCCUUUCACAAGUCUUGCUUCAGGUGCUCUCACUGCAAAUCCACCCUUCAAGUUUGGAGCACGAGCUGCAGCCCCAAGACUGUAAAAGAUAGCGACUUAUCUGCUGGUUUUGCAUGAACGGUCCGUAAUAAGACCAACAACUCUCCUAUGAGUUGCUCGUUUGUGAUGGAAAAUGUAAGAGACUUGAACAAAAUCUGAGAGAAGUUGAAGCAAUAAUGUUGCAUCCAUUGCCAGAGAUUGCUGAGAGUAUCAAUGAUACUGUCUAUCAUGAACACUCCAUGUGGCCAUGAGAUACAGAUGAUUUUAUGUUGAUAGUGGAUGCAAUAUCAAGGGGAGAGUUGAAAUGGGUAUUGACUGCUUGUGCUAAAGUUAUUUCUGAGAACAACCUUCUAACGGCACGGUGGUGUAUGGGAGUGCUAAGAAGCAUGGUUUCAAUAUCUGGUAAGCCUAUCCAGUGUCUAGGAGGGUACAUGUUAGAAGGGUUUCUGGCUAGGGUCGCUGCCACUGGUUCCAUAUACAAAUAUCUCCGGUCCAUAGAACCCGAGAGUUAUGAUUUCGUAUCUUAUGUAUUCAACAUGAUGAAUCAUUAAUUUGUUGAAAUAAAGAGAAAGGUGAAAGGAAGACUUCACAAGACUUCA